rnacentral:rRNA from 1 species
AGGACGAACGCUGGCGGCGUGCUUAACACAUGCAAGUCGAACGGAAAGGCCCUUUCGGGGGUACUCGAGUGGCGAACGGGUGAGUAACACGUGGGUGAUCUGCCCUGCACUUUGGGAUAAGCCUGGGAAACUGGGUCUAAUACCGAAUACACCUUGCUGGCUGCAUGGCCUGGUGGGGGAAAGCUUUUGCGGUGUGGGAUGGGCCCGCGGCCUAUCAGCUUGUUGGUGGGGUGAUGGCCUACCAAGGCGACGACGGGUAGCCGGCCUGAGAGGGUGUCCGGCCACACUGGGACUGAGAUACGGCCCAGACUCCUACGGGAGGCAGCAGUGGGGAAUAUUGCACAAUGGGCGCAAGCCUGAUGCAGCGACGCCGCGUGAGGGAUGACGGCCUUCGGGUUGUAACCUCUUUCAGUAUCGACGAAGCGCAAGUGACGGUAGGUACAGAAGAAGCACCGGCCAACUACGUGCCAGCAGCCGC